AACGAACGCUGGCGGCAGGCCUAACACAUGCAAGUCGAGCGCCCCCGCAAGGGGAGCGGCGGACGGGUGAGUAACGCGUGGGAACGUACCCUUUGCUACGGAAUAGCCUCGGGAAACUGGGAGUAAUACCGUAUGUGCCCUUCGGGGGAAAGAUUUAUCGGCAAAGGAUCGGCCCGCGUUGGAUUAGGUAGUUGGUGGGGUAAUGGCCUACCAAGCCGACGAUCCAUAGCUGGUUUGAGAGGAUGAUCAGCCACACUGGGACUGAGACACGGCCCAGACUCCUACGGGAGGCAGCAGUGGGGAAUCUUAGACAAUGGGCGCAAGCCUGAUCUAGCCAUGCCGCGUGAGCGAUGAAGGCCUUAGGGUUGUAAAGCUCUUUCAGUGGGGAAGAUAAUGACUGUACCCACAGAAGAAGCCCCGGCUAACUCCGUG
rnacentral:rRNA from 1 species